UACAGCUCUGAGAGGGGAGAGACUGUGUCUGACUUCCAGGAUCUUCCACUGCACAAGCUCAAAGCUCAGAAAAUAUUGACGAUGGGCUGCAGGGGAGAAGAGAGCAGAAUGGGGUGGAGAGCGGGAUCCAGUUUGUGCACAAACUGCAGGAUAGGAUUAUAGGUCCAUGUAUGCAGGGAAUGCAGGGCAGCAUGGAGAACGGCUGCGGUGGCUGCCUGUGGAGGGGUGGAUGAAGUAGGCCAGCCUGUCCAGAAAUACCCACCCUCCUCUUCAACAGGAGGUGCCUUCGAGGCCCCUUGACUUGGGGCGUGGCCUUAUAACUUGCUUUGGACCCAGGACAGACAAGGUGCCAGCCGAGGACUUGCAAUGCACCCCUGUGCUAGUCUGCUCUCUGCUGCCUCGGGGAGGAAGCCCCAGAAACACGCGCACAGCAGCGUGAGUCCAACCCCCGGGCACAAGCGCUUCUCAGCGAGCUUGCCGCCGAGCCGCCCAGCCGUGCUCUGCCGUCGCGUGCAGCUGUUGUCUGAGCCACCGAGGGCUCGGGCCAUCUAUCUCUCGGCAUUUUCAUGGCAGGAGCUGACGGACACUCAGGGAGAGUAAAUGGAGACAGAUAUCCCACAGCUGAUCAUGGGGAUGGUGCCGGCACCUGCCACCUGGAGACCGUCUGUUUUCUUCCCCCAGUAAGGACUUGUGGGCGAGGCACCCCUGGUGAGCAGGAUGGGUGCCACCACGGCUGCUCAGAUACCUGACAGGACAUUCCCAUGUUCACUCCCAUUUGGCAGGCAGCUCACCACAGUGACGCCCUCGUGCGGCUGGAGUGUAUGAGGUGGUAGUUCACACGAUUCCAGACAUGGGACGGGCUGGGGACGCUCACACAUCCACCGAGAGGCCCUGGGAGACAUGAAAUGUGGAAAUUCAGGGACAACUGGAGCACCAGCCAGUAGGAUUUGCGGCUUGGGAAUAUUCUCAGACUUUGGCAGUUAAAUUAAGGAACCUGGAAGUCCUCACAUCUCCUGUGACAUGGCUAAGCUCCGGAGUAACAAGAUGGUGCUGUUGCUGGAUAUCAAAAUGGAACCGUGACUCAUACCAUUUAUUACACAUACAUAUGUGGCAUAUAUGUGAACUUAUGGUCUUGAUAACACCCAAUUCAUACGUGUAUCUGGUGCAGAGGAGGAAACAAGAAUGGGAACGUGGUAGGAACCCAAGAUGUCAGAGGAUCUUGGCUUCUUGCCACAGCGUACUCUCACAUGGCUGUCGUUUUUAAUUAAAAGUUGUGUUUGUUACAGAAAAUGUAUAAAAUAGAGAAAGGUAUAAAAAUAAUUCCAUCAUUUGAACCAGCCACUGUUCACAUACUGGGAUAGAUUCUUCCAAUUUUGGAGUACAGAUAUCAUUGCAAAUGAGGGGAGAUCUGGCUCUCCUGCUCCCAAACACCCAAUGGAUGAUGCAUGGAGAAAAUAAAGAAAUAUAAAAAUUGCAUUCACGUCAAUUUCCCAAACCCACACAGCAGACAUUGAAAUAAUUCCCUGAUCACCAUGGCUGAGCAUGUGUUCUUGGCAGCCAACACAGACAGAGGCAAUUAGCAACCUGGGACUCCUUCUUGACAAGUAAUCAUUGCUGCUUUAAGAUCAGAAGCAAAAUGUAGCAUUUACGGAGCC